rnacentral:rRNA from 1 species
GAUGAACGCUGGCGGCGUGCCUAAUACAUGCAAGUCGAGCGAACGGACGAGAAGCUUGCUUCUCUGAUGUUAGCGGCGGACGGGUGAGUAACACGUGGAUAACCUACCUAUAAGACUGGGAUAACUUCGGGAAACCGGGGCUAAUACCGGAUAAUAUUUUGAACCGCAUGGUUCAAAAGUGAAAGACGGUCUUGCUGUCACUUAUAGAUGGAUCCGCGCUGCAUUAGCUAGUUGGUAAGGUAACGGCUUACCAAGGCAACGAUGCAUAGCCGACCUGAGAGGGUGAUCGGCCACACUGGAACCGAGACACGGUCCAGACUCCUACGGGAGGCAGCAGUAGGGAAUCUUCCGCAAUGGGCGAAAGCCUGACGGAGCAACGCCGCGUGAGUGAUGAAGGUCUUCGGAUCGUAAAACUCUGUUAUUAGGGAAGAACAUAUGUGUAAGUAACUGUGCACAUCUUGACGGUACCUAAUCAGAAAGCCACGGCUAACUACGUG